GACGAACGCUGGCGGCGUGCUUAACACAUGCAAGUCGAACGGUGAAGCGCCUUCCUUUUUGGUGGGUGUGGAUGAGUGGCGAACGGGUGAGUAACACGUGAGUAACCUGCCCCCUUCUUCUGGAUAACCGCAUGAAAGUGUGGCUAAUACGGGAUAUUCUGGGUCUGUCGCAUGAUGGGUCUGGGAAAGAUAUUGUUUCGGUGGGGGAUGGGCUCGCGGCCUAUCAGCUUGUUGGUGGGGUGAUGGCCUACCAAGGCGGUGACGGGUAGCCGGCCUGAGAGGGUGGACGGUCACACUGGGACUGAGACACGGCCCAGACUCCUACGGGAGGCAGCAGUGGGGAAUAUUGCACAAUGGGCGCAAGACUGAUGCAGCGACGCCGCGUGAGGGAUGGAGGCCUUCGGGUUGUGAACCUCUUUCGACAGUGAAGCAGGCCUGCCUCGUUUGUGGGUGGGUUGACGGUAGCUGGAUAAGAAGCGCCGGCUAACUACGUG
rnacentral:rRNA from 1 species